rnacentral:ncRNA from 1 species
AUUUAUAAGAAUAUGAUGUUGGUUCAGAUUAAGCGCUAAAUAAGGACAUGACACAUGCGAAUCAUACGUUUAUUAUUGAUAAGAUAAUAAAUAUGUGGUGUAAACGUGAGUAAUUUUAUUAGGAAUUAAUGAACUAUAGAAUAAGCUAAAUACUUAAUAUAUUAUUAUAUAAAAAUAAUUUAUAUAAUAAAAAGGAUAUAUAUAUAAUAUAUAUUUAUCUAUAGUCAAGCCAAUAAUGGUUUAGGUAGUAGGUUUAUUAAGAGUUAAACCUAGCCAACGAUCCAUAAUCGAUAAUGAAAGUUAGAACGAUCACGUUGACUCUGAAAUAUAGUCAAUAUCUAUAAGAUACAGCAGUGAGGAAUAUUGGACAAUGAUCGAAAGAUUGAUCCAGUUACUUAUUAGGAUGAUAUAUAAAAAUAUUUUAUUUUAUUUAUAAAUAUUUAAUAUUUAUAAUAAUAAUAAUAAUAAUAUAUAUAUAUAAAUUGAUUAAAAAUAAAAUCCAUAAAUAAUUAAAAUAAUGAUAUUAAUUACCAUAUAUAUUUUAUAUGGAUAUAUAUAUUAAUAAUAAUAUUAAUUUAUUAUUAUUAAUAAUAUAUUUUAAUAGUCCUGACUAAUAUUUGUGCCAGCAGUCGCGGUAACACAAAGAGGGCGAGCGUUAAUCAUAAUGGUUUAAAGGAUCCGUAGAAUGAAUUAUAUAUUAUAAUUUAGAGUUAAUAAAAUUAAUUAAAGAAUUAUAAUAGUAAAGAUGAAAUAAUAAUAAUAAUUAUAAGACUAAUAUAUGUGAAAAUAUUAAUUAAAUAUUAACUGACAUUGAGGGAUUAAAACUAGAGUAGCGAAACGGAUUCGAUACCCGUGUAGUUCUAGUAGUAAACUAUGAAUACAAUUAUUUAUAAUAUAUAUUAUAUAUAAAUAAUAAAUGAAAAUAAAGUAUUCCACCUGAAGAGUACGUUAGCAAUAAUGAAACUCAAAACAAUAGACGGUUACAGACUUAAGCAGUGGAGCAUGUUAUUUAAUUCGAUAAUCCACGACUAACCUUACCAUAUUUUGAAUAUUAUAAUAAUUAUUAUAAUUAUUAUAUUACAGGCGUUACAUUGUUGUCUUUAGUUCGUGCUGCAAAGUUUUAGAUUAAGUUCAUAAACGAACAAAACUCCAUAUAUAUAAUUUUAAUUAUAUAUAAUUUUAUAUUAUUUAUUAAUAUAAAGAAAGGAAUUAAGACAAAUCAUAAUGAUCCUUAUAAUAUGGGUAAUAGACGUGCUAUAAUAAAAUGAUAAUAAAAUUAUAUAAAAUAUAUUUAAUUAUAUUUAAUUAAUAAUAUAAAACAUUUUAAUUUUUAAUAUAUUUUUUUAUUAUAUAUUAAUAUGAAUUAUAAUCUGAAAUUCGAUUAUAUGAAAAAAGAAUUGCUAGUAAUACGUAAAUUAGUAUGUUACGGUGAAUAUUCUAACUGUUUCGCACUAAUCACUCAUCACGCGUUGAAACAUAUUAUUAUCUUAUUAUUUAUAUAAUAUUUUUUAAUAAAUAUUAAUAAUUAUUAAUUUAUAUUUAUUUAUAUCAGAAAUAAUAUGAAUUAAUGCGAAGUUGAAAUACAGUUACCGUAGGGGAACCUGCGGUGGGCUUAUAAAUAUC